GGAUCAAUGGGUCGGUCGUGCCCUCGGUACGUACUGGCUUUAUUGGUUCUCACCUUCUAAUGAACCAUAAUGUCAUUCAUUUGAUGUUAUGGGGAAUUAGGACUGUUACCUUGAAAAAAUUAGAGUGUUUAAAGCAGGCUAACGCUUGAAUACAUUAGCAUGGAAUAAUGAAAUAGGACAUCGCAUUCUAUUUUGUUGGUUUCUAGGAUCGAUGUA
rnacentral:rRNA from 2 species